GUUCGGAGGCGGGCCUGGUUUGGAGAAACAACCACCCAUCAGCCAGGCUUGGGGAGGGGAAGGCCAGAGGAGAGGAAGGAGGAGUCUGGAGAGGGGAGAGAAAGACGUAGAAAAACAGACAAGGAGAGAGGGCAGGAGUGGGGGACACAGGUACUGGGAGAGAGUAGAGACACAGAGACAAGAGAGAAAAGGCAACAAAGACAAAGCCAGAGACGCCCAGCCCGAGAGACAGAGCCACACGGAGAGAAUGGAGAGGGGAGCAGGGUCAGAGGGCCCGGACGACGCAGAGAAGGACGCGAAAGGACGUGAGAGGGACUUCCCCCAGGGGCAGGGAGAGGCCUUGGGCAGCUCCUCCGCUGGGCCGGGCUGCCUGCCUGCUGGACUCCGGGAAGGAGGCAGUGACCGCACCCAUCUGGAAGCUGUCAGGUCCCUCAAGGAUGAGGGCGUUGGGAGGAAGCCAGACAUGAGCCACGUCUAGAGAGAGGAAGCGGCGGGAUUUGAAAAAGAUGGCCCUCCUUCUGGGAGAGCACCCACUGCUCAUCUGAAUUCUAGAGAACCACUCAAGUGCAUAUAGACGGCAUCCAUCCUAAGAAGGAAAGUGCUCUCUAAGAAGCCACUAUGCCUGAAAUGCCACCAUAUGUAUACACCAUUCCACUAUGGAAAACAUUGCCUUUUCGGGGCUCUUCCUGUGAAAUGCAGGCCAUGAGCUCUUGCUGGACAUACCAGAACAAAGACAUAGUCUCUUCAAGAUGGCAUUCACAGCCAUAGGGCAGGACGACAGGUGGGCGACAACCAUAGCCAGCAGAAGAGCAGACACUGGAACAGAGGUUCAAACCAACAACUAUGGAGCGAGCUGAGCCUUUUAUUGAAGCGUAAUACAUAUACAGAAAAAUUCACCUAUCAUAAGUAUGCAUCUUGGUAAAUUUUCACAAGGAAUAUACCCAUGGAAC
rnacentral:lncRNA from 1 species